AUCGACUACACAGUUCCCACCACCAUCGCUGAUGACAUGAGUUACAUGUUUGACUACUGCACGCUGUCCACCAUCAAGGUUCACAACAUCGUGGUCAUGAUGCAGGUGACGGUGACGACCUCGUACUUCGGCCACUCGGAGCAGGUCUCCCAGGAGAUGUACCAGUACGUGGACUGCGGGGGGAACACCACCUCGCUGCACGGACACGUGCAGGUCUACCAGUAAAGAGAGAGAGAGAGAGGAGAAGGGGAAGCGCGUCAGCGUUCGUCACAGCGGCUCAUCCAUGUCUCCACUCCCACCCAGCUCCAGCCCCCCCCCCCCCCCCCCCCCCCCCCCCCCCCCCCCCCCGGUUCACAGACACUCCCCAUCAGACGGGCGGUUGCUUGUUUACCGGUCUGAUCUGCAGCAGGUGUGUGGUUUCCUCCCACUCCAGCGCCGUUGGGGAGGAAUUCAUUUCAUCUGCAGUUCGACUCGUGAUGCACUUUAGCCUGAUUCUCAUCAACAGAGUUACAGGAGCGGCGGGAGGUUUUUGCACCAUUCCCAUUCUGAGAGAUUCGUGACUUUUUUAGGACGGCGAGCAUCAAUCAGCAGUUUCUGACCACUUUGUGUUUCUCUGUUGUCAUUCCUUUCUGCAAGGUUUAUUAUUUUAAAUCUUGUUUCACGAAGUUAAUGUUCUCAGUAUCGUGUUGUGCAAUAGAUUAUUUUACGUCACUGGAUUGUUCUUUUCAGCUUUUUUUUUUUAUCUUGGACUUCUCUGCUUGAAAUUUGAUUAUUUAAAAUACAUUUACAACAACCACUCUACAUGAUUAUAUUCUGUGGUUUCAGAAAAGAAAAAAAAUUAAAGGAUUUUUUUUUCAUGGGAACAUUGGGUUUACUUUAAAUGUUACAUUGAGGAUUAUUUCUUUUUUUGCCUCUUAAAAAGGUACAAUAUGUAAUAUUUAGUUGAUGUAAAUCAAGCAACUCUUAAUUUUGUGGUAUUCUGGUAUAUUAAUUCCCAAAUUUAGCAGAUUUUCCAGUUCGUUUGGUCUUGUAGUGCAGGUUUUCUCCACAAGAUGGCGUAUUGAGUCGCUCGGAGAAGCUGCAGGUAAAUUAAUUGGCAAAAAUUGGCAAUAAAAGUCUCAACACUGCCACCUAAUGGACAGAAGAGGCAUGCCUAAAAUCUCACAUGCUUCCUUUAAAGCGAUUGUUCUCAUUUUUCUGUUUUGUUUUUUUUUUUGCACUGUUUUUUUCUCCACUUUGCAGCUUGUAUCAUGACCUGACUCACGUUUGUGAAGUGUGAUUAUUACAAUUUAUAGUUUAACCAUGUUGGAUUAAUUGAUAUGUUCUUAUUGUAAUUUUAAUUAAUAUUACUAAAAUUUAAAUGCAAUAAAUUUCUGUUUGAUGGAUCAAUUCCAAAACUUUUCCACCAUUAUUCAUAUCAGAAACUUGCUAAAUUAAUGGCCCGAGUCUCCUUUUGAAUAAAACAAUUAAUUUUUCCCACGUUUUUGAUCACUGUGGCAUUUUCUGGUAAAAUAAAAAGAACAGAUAAUGAUAUUUUGCCCUCGUGGUGUGAUUUAAGUAGUUUUAUUUAGAUUGUGUCACAAAAGAAUCUCAUUUUUAAAUCUCAACUCUGAGCUCGCUUCAGUUAUUUCCUAAAGAAAGUGAUUUCUGCCUUUAGUUUCGGGGGUUUCUCUUAAUCUUUGAUGAAGAUCUUCAGUAUUUUCCUGCUGCUUUCUGACAUCUCAACAGAGUUUCUUUGUUCUUCAUGCAUGAAGCUGAAAAAAGAAAAUAAAGUCAUUGUUUCAUUUGG
ensembl:lncRNA